AGAGAAGAGCUACUGGGAUUAACAGAGGAAUGGAGUACCUGCCCAAUUAAAGGAGUCUUCAGGAGCUUGGCUUGUUUUAGCCUAACAAAAUGAAGGAUGAGGAGCAAUAUGGUUGCUCUCUAUAUAUACAUCAGAGGGAUAAACACCAGGGAAGGACAGGAAUUAUUUAAGCUCGGUACCAAUGUGA